AUGGCCUUCCUAGUUAUGCUCCUCCUCGUUGUCGUUCCUCUGCUCGUGGUUGUCGCCACGCAGCUGUGGGACUACGCCGUCAUGCGCCUCGUGUGGAGGCCAGACGCCAUAAGCAAGUGGUUCAGAGAGCAAGGGAUCCAUGGACCCUCCUACGGGUUCUUGAAUGGCUGCAACAAGGACAUCAGGAGCCUCAAGGAGGAGACUGACCGUCUGGUGCUGGAUGUUCGCGACCACAAGUACCUCCCGCGGAUCGCGCCACACUACCUGAAAUGGAGGGCGCAGUACGGAGACCCAUUUCUAUAUUGGCAUGGGGCGCAGGCCCGAAUAUGCGUAUUUAAUUAUGAAUUGGCAAGACAAAUUCUUUCAAGCAAGUCCGGACAUUUCGUGAAGAACGAUGUACACCCUAAUUUCCUGGCUUUGGUUGGUAACAAACUCGGGUUUAUGGAAGGCGCAGAUUGGGUGCGCCAUCGCAGGAUAAUCAACCCUGUUUUCACCAUUGAUAAGCUAAAGAUGAUGACAAAAACAAUGCUGGAUUUUGCUGAAACCAUGGUUAAGGAGUUGGAACAUCAAGCAUCUCGAAACGAGAAUGGAGAAAAACAAUUACAUAUCAGUAAAUUUUUCAGCCAGCUAACAGUUCAUAAUAUAUCCCAUGCCAUCUUUGGAAGCAGUUAUGAAUUAGGAAAUAAAGUGUUCCAGGCUCAAAUUGACCUAUUGAGGAUCACUAUGGAAGCUUUCCUCGACGUGCUGAUACCAGGAUUCAAAUAUCUUCCUACUGAAAGGAAUCAACGUAGAUGGAUGCUCGAAAGGGAGCUUAAGAGCCUACUCACACAAAUCAUACAACCACGAUUAGCAACUAGUGAAUACGGAAAUGAUCUACUAGGUGUCAUGCUUGACUCUUGCAUUGAAACCAAGCAAGGAGGGAAGCAAGUGGAUCUCAGCUUGAGCAUGGACGAGAUCAUACAUGAGUGCAAGCAGUUCUUCUUCGCUGGUCAUGACACGACAUCUCAACUACUCACAUGGUCUGUGUAUUUGUUGUGCAUAUACCCAGAAUGGCAAGAAAAGCUUCGAAAGGAAGUCUUCAAGGAAUUUGGGAGGGAAUCUCCUAACCCCAAUGCGCUCAACAAAUUGAAAGAGAUGGCAAUGGUGCUCUUAGAGACCUUGAGGCUCUACCCGCCUGCUCUUUUCAUGCAAAGGAAGGCCGUGACCGAUAUGACAGUGGGAUCAAUAAAACUGCCCAAAGGCAUAUCAAUUGUGAUACCUAUUCCAGUUAUGCAUAGGGACAAGGAGGUUUGGGGUGACGACGCAGAUGAAUUCAAUCCCUUGAGAUUUAAGAAUGGGAUCACGGGGGCAGCAAAGGUUCCACAUGGCCUGCUAGCCUUUUCAAUCGGUCCAAGGUCUUGCAUCGGUCAGAACUUUGCUAUGUUGGAAGCGAAGUCGACAUUGGCCCUGAUGCUCCAGAAGUUCUCAUUCACCCUUUCCCCUGAUUAUGUGCAUGCACCAGUCGAUAUGUUUACUCUUAAACCUAAGUUUGGUCUUCCGAUAUUUUUAAGGCCACUGGAUAAGUGCAAUUAG
rnacentral:rRNA from 1 species